rnacentral:lncRNA from 1 species
CCAUUUGUUUCUAUGCUGCAGGUCACAGGACAACUGGGCCCACCCGCCUGGACUCCAAGCCAUGCUGGAGUUACCUGUGAAGGCAAAUCUGUCCUCUUCUAUUUUCUUCCUGAGGUGUUUGAUCUCAAAGUCCCUCUCCUUCAGCAGCUUAUACAGUCGCCCAUUCUCAUCAACUGUCUCCCGGAGUUCACUACGAAGCUGCUGGAUUUCAUCUUCCAACACCCUGCAAGGGAAAGGUGGACCAACUGCUCCUCACAGGCAACAGUGCCCAGGCCUCUGCAACUGGCUUACACCUGUAGUAUCAGGGUUGGCCACUAGGGGGCACUAAGAAGAUGUCUGUACAAAAUAAGACCAAAACUAUGAGAGAGGAGAUUUAAACAUACUGU